ACGAACAGGGAACGCUGCCGCUAUUUAGAGGGAAGCUGGGAUGAGUCGUUAUUGUAACAUCGAGUCGCUAACGGCAACCAUAUGACAAUGAAUAUCACUUUCCAAUCGGCCGGGUACCAAAUACCUUUUUAAGCGCGUCUCUGAUUCUCCACCAGAACUAACUAUUUUGACGCCUUUGUGGAUUUUGAGACCUUUUUGAUAUUGUUCGAGAACUGACGCCGAUGUCUUUGUGAGAAAGUUGUCACGUUAAAGCAUUUCCGAUCCUUCCCUAACGUAUAUUUUAGCUUAUUUUUUCAAAGUUGCCAAAGAAGUCCAGAGUGAAAACAUAAACACUGGAUACACCUGUAAAAUCUACUUUAGAUCUCAACCCUGAAGAUAAACAGUUCGAAAAAGUUACUGCCUCUACACAAGUUUAAAAUGUCUAAACAGUUACUGUGCUCAAUCCUGCUAACAUUCGUGGCCCUGGGACUAGUAUCACAGAAUGUGGUCCAAUGCCGGCCCGUGGACCCAGAGAUGGAUUUGCCAAACUUAAAUCGGGUGUUUUUAGAACUGGCAGGAACACAGUCGAAUGACAUGGAUGACAUGAAUACGAACCAGCCAGGUAAUUCCGACCCAUCGCCGGACGCAGGAGUUAUUGCGCAACUGGACAACUAUUACGACCUCUUGCGGCAAAGCUCCGAAUCAAAACGAACAUUCGGAAAGCGAGGGAAGAUGUCAGGGCGCCGGCAGCGAUACAGGAAACCGCGGCCUUGCUACUGGCUGCUGGUAACCUGCUACUAUUAGCAUUGUAGUGACACCAUGUGUUAGCUUUAAAUGGAAUCCAGUAUCUUAAUCGUUACGCCACCUGGCGGCCAGUGGAAGUACUCUUUCUUGGUAGACGAGGGGCCUAACGAUGGCGUUCCCUCCUAGGACGAUAGAAUAUCAUGAUACAUUGCUUGCUUGUAUUCUCGUUAAAGGGCAGGUACCGCCGUAGGACACCCCAUCAUUGCAUGUUACAAGCGACCCUUCUUAUCGAGUCAAGCCUGUGAACGAGUGGGUAUUACGGGCCUACUUCAAGGACGAACUUAAACUGUUUGUUUCACUACAAACAACUCGUUCUUGGAGGUAAAUCCUACUUGCUGCUAGCAGAAUGGAAUCAUUCGUUUUAUUCAAUUUGGUAGUUUCUUCUCUCAUUUUAUACAAUUGAUGGAAUGCAGUAACUCCAUCUCAACAAUUUCACAUGAACCACACAUACACGUCACAUGGAGAUGUUUCGCCAGUGAGUUGGGCGAAUCGAGUGCAACGACAACAUAAAGUUUCAGCUCGGACAUUUUCAUACCACUCAGAACACGCGGUGUGUGGUCGAUAUUGUCCAGGUUGGUUGGUCAACGGCCGACAAUAUUUUCCCCAACACCACUCAUUGAGGGUAGGUUUCCACUGAAUGUGACUUGACGCGAUAUCGCAUGGUUUUGAAAUGCAGGCGAUUUUUCCUGGCGAUUUUUACAGGACGUUGGCGUGUCACUAUCUUUGCCUCCGGAUGAACUGAUGAAUUCUCUAUAAACUCAUGUUUAUAACUCGGACAAGUUGUCUGUAUCCUUCAUGAAUUGAAUAAUUCGAACAUUAUUGUGGACUGAUGUGCAGAUUUUAUCAAACGAAUGAUUUUAUGUAUGAAUCUGUCAAGACGUAUUUUAGUUCUAAAGUUUCCGAUAGGUGGCCAGUGUGUAUUUAAUAUUUUCCAAGUGCCUCUUUCAGUGAUGUAUUGCAAGGGAAAGGUAUAGCAACUCUAAAUUGCCGACUAUUGCGCUGCCACCGCGACUGUUCUACAAAAGCUAUAGCGCCGGUGUGAAAGGAAUAGGUCGAUGGCAGGAAAGUCCAGGAUGAAAAUAUUCUGUUGUGCGAUUUUAUCUUAUGGUGACUAAUGCCGUGUUCUCUAGGAGGACUAACUUAUCAAGAACUUGCUGUUAGAAAUAACAUGUACAUUUGAAGUUCAGGUUUGGGUCAUAACAUUUAGAAUAUUGUCCCUUUAAGUGCCUCGCAAACGAGCAAGUAUCGUCGCUGCGACCUCUAACCAUGAUCACAUGCGACAGAAAUCGCUUGUUUGUGAUGGUCAUCGCAGGAAUAUGUGACUACAACCGGUGAUCGCGAGCUGCAAUCAAUAUCAACGCCAGCGAUUACUGGUUUUCCCUACAGACGGGCGAUCAUUUUAUCGCUCGAUCAUCGCUGUGAAAAACGAUGUAGGUCGUUGCGACAAAAAAUCGUUCAUUUGCGGGUGCUUUAUUGACUAAGUGUGGUGUAAUCGAUAAAGAACAUUGGAUUCCUGGAUGUAUAUUAUUUUUAUGAAUAAAUUUGUUUUAUAUAUUGAA